CUGCUGUUUUCUCCGAUUCUCCGCAUUCUGCUGCGAGUCGUCGGUCACGCUGGUUCCGAUUUUCAUCCGGUUGAGCUCGACAACAAAUUCCCUGCACUUUAUUUACAGCUUGGAAAAUUGGCAAAUCGGAGUGUCGGAGAAGGUUUAAACAUCAAACAUAAACCGAGUCAUGUAGUGAGCGACCGAAGACAGCAUUUUCAGCGCACAAAGAGUUCAAACACAUCCGCAGACGGAGAAGAAGAGCCGAGCAGCCGGAGUGGGCGCUGCAAAAGUGCAACAGCUGCGCAGGAAACCGAAACGAAUAGAGGACGCCAACUGAAAACCAUUUCCAACUCUAAGCCAAGUCCAAUAAAUCCGAGACUAGAUUCGAGUGGCGAGUACCGAGCAACUAGUACCACGUUUCCAGUUCCCAGAUUCCGGAUUUCAAAGCUGCUGCGGCGGGAGAAUGUGUAGUGCAACCCACGGGCGGCAGCUUCAAGUGGCAAUUGUGGCAGCAGCGGCGAACUCAACCGGAUAAUAAGUUGUGGAUGC